rnacentral:rRNA from 1 species
AGAGUUUGAUCCUGGCUCAGGAUGAACGCUGGCGGCGUGGAUAAGGCAUGCAAGUCGAAAGGGUUUAGACCCUUGGCAAACGGGUUCGGAACGCGUAGGUAUCUACCUUGAAGUCGCGAAUAACCUGGAGAAAUCCAGGACAAUACGCGAUGUGCUCUACGGAGUAAGAUUUAUCGCUUCAAGAGGAGCCUGCGUCCUAUCAGCUUGUUGGUGAGGUAAAAGCUCACCAAGGCGAUGACGGGUAGGGGGUGUGAGAGCAUGACCCCCAACAUUGGCACUGAGACACUGGCCAAACACCUACGGGUGGCUGCAGUCGAGAAUAUUCCACAAUGGACGAAAGUCUGAUGGAGCGACGCCGCGUGCAGGAAGACGGUCUUCGGAUUGUAAACUGCUUUUCUCUGGGAAGAACUUCGGUGACUUACCAGAGAAUAA